CUGUGUGGAACAGUGUUGGAGAUCUCUGGAAUAUCACUGUUUCUUAAAUAACUUUGAGCCAAUAGCAUAACUGCCUUCAUUACUCCUACCCUCCUACACCUAGAAGUACCCUGGUCCAACUAAUUCUGAGGCUUCAUGGCAUUCUGCCAUAUAAAAAGCUCGCCUUCUCUGGUCAGCUUAGAGAUUCAGCUUUAUUACAUCUACUGAGUCCUUUAAGCUUGUUCAAUCCCUGGUCUGGGAACUGAGAUCCCACAUCAAACCACUGCACGAUGCAGCCAAAAACAACAACAAGAAAAGAAAACAAUCCUUUUUUUGAGUUUUAGUGGGCUUUAAGAAGGGAGUGAAAUUAAAUGUAUUUCAGUCCAGUGUUCUUUAAUCAGAACUCUGUUUUUAUCGCAUAGUACAUAUCCUAUUUUUUCAAAUUAUUUUAUUUUCAUAAUUAUAAUUUUUCUUUUUACUUGAUAUUACAUUGCCUGGAUUGCCCAUAAUUUACUCUUGCAUUAUUACUGGCUAUUUAAGUUUCUUCCAACUUUUCACUUAUUACAUUUUGCUGAGGUAAACAUUCAUUUAAGAUUCCUCCAUUUUUAGGAUUACUUCCUUAGAGUAGAAUUCCAGAAAUAACAUCUUUUGACUGAAAUCAUUUUCUGAAAGUUGUCUAUGAGUGUUGAUUUUACUAAACAUUUAUCAGAGUUUGGUAUUAUAAUUUGCCAAAUAAAAUUAUUUGAUGAGUAAUAUAAAAUGGCAGCUUGUUUUACUUUUUUUUUUUUUGCUUUUUAGGGCCAAAUCUGGGGCAUAUGGAGGUUUCCAGCUAGGGGACGAAUCAGAGCUGCAGCCGCCGGCCUACAGCACAGCCACAGCAAUAUGGGAUCUGCGACCUCUGCCACAGCUGACAGCAACACCGGAUCCUUAACCCAUUGAGCAAGGCUAGGGAUCUAAUCUGCAUCCUCACGGAUCCUAGUUGGGUUCAUUAACCGUUGAGCCCCAAGGAAACUCCUGUUUGUAUCUUUUGGAUUGUCAAGGUAGAGCCUUUCUCCACUUUUUUUUUUUUUCCCUGUAUUUUUAGGGCCACACCUGCGGCAUAUGGAGGUUCUCAGGCUAGGGGUUGAAUCAGAGCUACAGCUGCUGGUCUGUGCCAAAGCAAUGCCAGAUCUGAGCCUCGUCUGUAACCUACACCAUAGCUCAUGACAAUGCAGGAUCUUUAACCCACUGAUGGAGGACAGGGAUUGAACCCAUGUCCUCCUGGAUUCUAGUCUGGUUCAUUACUGCUGCACCACAACAGGAACUCCAGUAGUUGUGUUUUUUCAUUGUCUUUUUGUCUUUUGUUCUUAUCAACAUUUUAAGUUCUUAAAACUUGAAAAAAACCAAUUUGUAGAACUCUUUAUAAUAAAUGCCCCAAGUUUUAACUGUCUAAAAAAUUUGCUACAAAUAUUUUCUCCAGUUGGCUUACAGUUUAUUGAUUUUUUUUUUGCUAUUGUUUUUAAUGUGCAUGAGUUUGAAAUUUGUAUAUAGUCAAAUCUGCAGUCUGUUGUAUUUUGUAUCAAUUUUGAAGUUUCAGAUUUUACUCUAGCAAAAAUAAUCUAUUUUAAUUUAUGACUUUAUAUUUUUAGUACUGAACUUUAAAAAAUUCACCUGAAAUUUAUUGUAUUUCCCCCUCCCCCUCAUGGCUGUCCUGGGGCAUUUGGAGUUUCUGGGCCUGAGAUGAGAUCCAAGCUGAGGUUGCAACCUAUGCCACAGCUGAGGCAACACCAGAUCAUUAACCUACUGUGCUAGGUCAGGGAUCAGACCUGUGUCCUUUUGUUACAGAGACAUCAUUAAUCCCAUUGAGUCACAACGGGAACUCCUGAAAUUUAUUCUUGAGUGUGGUUGAAGUAUCUAAAUUUUUGUUUGUUUGUUUUAAGGCUGCUAAGCGCCUAAUCCAGUAUGAGCCAGGGAAUCAUUUCUAUUCUUAUUUUUAUUUUUAAUUUUUAUUAUUUAUACUCAAUGAAUUUUACUGCAUUUAUAGUUGUACAGUGAUCAUCACAACGUAUUUUAUAGCAUUUCCAUCCCACACCCCCAGCCCAUCCCCCCCAACCUGUCUCAUUUGGAAACCUUAAGUUUUUCAAAGUCUGAGUCAGUAUCUGUUCUGCAAAGAAGUUCGUUGUAUCCUUUUUUUAGAUUCCACAUGUAAGUAAUAGCAUAUGAUGUUGGUGUCUCACUGACUAACUUCACUUAGCAUGAUAAUUUCUAGAUCCAUCCAUGUUGCUGCAAAUGCCAUUAUUUCUUCCCUCUUAAUGGCAGAGUAAUAUUCCAUUGUGUUUAUGUACCACAUCUUCUUUAUCCACUCCUCUGUUGAUGGACAUUCAGGUGGUUUCCAUGUCUUGGCUAUUGUAUGUAGUGCUGCAAUGAACAUUGGAGUACAUGUUUCUUUUCAAGUCAUGGUUUUUUCUGGAUAGCUGUCCAGGAGUGGGAUUGCCAGAUCAAAUGGUAAUUCUAUUUUUAGUUUUCUAAGGAAUCGCCGUAUUGUUUUCUACAGUCGUUGCACCAAUUUACAUUCCCACCAACAGUGCAAUGGGGUUUCCUUUUCUCCACACCCUCUCCAGCAUUUAUUGUUUGUAGACUUUUUGAUGAUGGCCAUUCUGGCUGGUGUAUUCUUAUUUUUAAAUAUAUCUUUAAAAAAAAAUUUGAAUAGGAGUUCCUUGUGGCAUAGCAGGUUAAGGAUCUGAUGUUGUCAUUGCAGCAGUUCAGGUCCCUGGCCUGGGAACUUCCGCAUGCUGUGGGUGUAG
ensembl:lncRNA